ACCCCCUCAGCCGCCGGUCCUCACCUCGCCGGCGUACCUUCAGCCGCCACCUUGUCUCCCGCAACCCCGCCACGUCCUCCGCUCCGCCGUAACCUCCUCCCAUCCGCCCCCAGUUCCUCCCCUGCCCUCGUCCCCGCAUCUGAUCGACCGCCGCCCAGGAGCCAUGAAGUCGCGGCCGGCGGCGGCGACGGGAGCCACGGAGGGCCUUCUUUCCGCGGCACGCUACUAGUAGGGCCUCCUCGGAAUUGGGGAUACCGGUGUUCGGUGCUCUUCACCUGGGCAGCUGCUGCUCACCGUCCUUCGCCGCCGAUGCUGAUUUCCUAUGUCCGGCAUCUUCGUGGAGGCGCCCGACAACAAGUAGGCCGUGGAGGCAGGGCCUUAUUUCCACGGCACGCUGCGAGGAGUGCCUCCUCGGAAUUGGGGAAGUCAGUGUUCGGUGCUCUUCACUUGGGCUGGGCAGCAGCUGCUCACCGGCCUAAGCUGAUUUCCUAUGGCCGGCGUCUCCGUGGCGGCGCCCGAGGGCAAGAAUGCCGUGGAGGCGAAUGGGUCCGAUGGCUGGGUGGGACGCGCCCAUUUCGUGCAAGACGGUGGGCGAGCUGCUCGCCCGCAAGGGCCACCGCGGCUACCUCAUCGCUGCCGCCGUACAGGAACUCGUCGACAUUGUCAUCUGAAGGUACAAAAUUCGGAAGUACAAGGAUUGCUAGAACAAGCUAGUGUUCUCAUCAUGAGCCACUCUCUACGGUUGGCAUAAGGAAGUGCCCUGCAACCCUUACAGAUAAACUAUGGUUCUACCAGCCAGCCACGUUGAUUAGAAAGAUCACUGCUGGGCUAUGGCUACGGGGUCAGUGACUCCUUCCCCUCCCUAUUGCAAACUCGUCACAGUGGCAACACAUUGACAUGAUGUCCCAUCAUCCACCUCAGUACUGGACUUCCUCGCGUUGUUUAUAGUUGAGGUCUGGGCGAUGUCUUUCUUCCACCAAGGUCCUCUUCUUCAAAGAAGUCUAGCUGCGUACAUUCAUCGUCAGGUGCCUUCUGCCUUCUGGUAUGUGACAACAUUAAAGGAGGAGCAAUCAUGCGGCUUCUGGUAUCCGUAUCCAUAUCUGUAUCGCCGUAUCCGGGCAACCUAGUAUGUGAACCAGGUACUCGACUUACUUGCGUUGUUAUCAUUGAGGUCAGGGAGAUGCCAUUCUUCCACCACAAGGUCCUCUUCUUCAAAGAACUCCAGCCGCGUUACAUUCAUCUUCUGGUAUGUGACAAUCUUCAAGGAGGAACAGUGCACGUGGCUUGAGAUGAGGCGGAAGGAACAUGUGUUUACUGCUGCCAUUGUGGCCUCCCCCCACCCUCACGCUCUCUGGAUCUGCAAGGAGAGUUGCUACUCAUGACGACGACAAGGAGUUUCUGUCCUGGCUUUUUGUGUUGUUUCAAAAUGCUUCCAAGAUUGAUGAUAGGUACCAUUGCAAUGGCGCACUAGGAAUUAUUGUAAUCCUUUAAAUUAAUGCAAUAGUGUUGUAGCUAUUGUUUCCUCUGUGAUCUGAGCUAAAUCCUAUGUUUGAAAUGUCAGAUUUGGUCUUGAUAUUUUUGUUGUGU